UAUGGCGCUCAGAAAACCUUCUCUUCUCUAUGAGCAGCCUUCACAUAGGGUACCCAAGUUGAGAAAAACAGACCCUCCCAAGAAAACAAGGAGAGAGAAGUACAUGGAGAGAUCCAAUUCCCAGAAGAAACGAGUUCUUGGAGCAGAGAGGGUUUUGCUUUCAGUUCAUCUCUUCAUCAUCACCAUCAUCAUCAUGCACCACUAAUAGCUGAAGCUGCCAGCAUGAUCUGAGCUUUUCUUCAAUGGAAGAAGCUGUCAGAUCAUCUGGCAGUUUCAACUGUUGCUGGGAAGCAUGAGAUAUCCCAGUACCAGAAAAGAAAAAAAAAACUACUUUUUCUCUGAUCUUUGCAUUGAUCUGGCCGUUCACAUUUUCAAGGACCCCUCUUGAGAUAAGGUUCGGCUAAUGAAUAUCGGCGUGUUUAAAAAGGGUUUCGCAUUCGUCUUGAAUGCAGCGGUCUUUUGAAGUCAGGCGCGACAACAAGGUUUCUUCCUUACCAACUAGAGAAGCGGCGAUAUGUGUCCAACCGGCUCUGUAUAAGCCUAUGUCGCUUGAUCGCACGGCCAUAAUAAAUUGACAUGAUCAAAUCCAUUAGUUUUGUGUUGCCGCGACUCGUAUACAUACGUGAAGAUCAUGAAAUAGCAGGAUUUCUUCUCAGGGUUUUUGUUUUACAAGUUUUGCAGAUUGUUCUGGGGAUUGGUGUAGCUAGAUUUGAGAUGAUGCCUUUCCAAAGUAUAUGUCUGAUUUUCAUGGAUGUUGUGAAUUUUUCGAACCUUUUUAUAGGUCCUACUUUUUCCUGCGAAGUGCUCGCACAAGUUUGCAAUUAUCUUGUUGAAGUUGUCGAUCAAUUGCGACAAUGUUACAGAAUUCAUUGUGGCUGAGAUAUUACAUCAGCAGGGCAUGGACUAAUCACCAUCUUCUACUUCUUCUUUGUUGGAGAAUUCUUACUCUCUCUCUUUUUUCUCUGUAACAGUCAGAUUGAUGGAUCCGAACGCUAAAUUCAUUACGAGUCGUCCUAUCCUUGUAAUGCCUCCAAUAUAGACUUGCUGUAUAUUUACUGAUGCUUCAAUUGAGUAAACUUGGACCACUUCUCUCUCUCUCUCUCUCUCUCUCUCUCUCUCUCUCUCUCUCUCUCUCACGUAUAACAAGAUUUAAGAAACUUGAACAAGUCAACUAUCACGAGGAACAGCGAAUUGUUUUCACGGCCAGACCAAGAAUUGGAAGGAGAAAGAAAACAAAAUCCGUUUGGUCUGUUUGGAUUGUAUACCUUUAUAGAUCUGGUAGAAUAUUACAACUUGAUGUAAGGAAUGACCGGUGGCGGUGGCGGUGGCAUAUGGAUACGGGCUAAUAUAUCUGGAUGCAGUGGCGGUGGUGUAGCAGUGCAUGUUUCUUGGUUUGUUAAUGGUGUGGAUUGCUAGUAGUGCUGAGCAUACGACCUCUCCACAAUCCUAAUUCUGCACAUUCCACAGUAGAUGCGGAUUCUUAACCGUGCUGCAAUUGGACGUUCAGUUUGCCCUUCCUCAUCUCUUUUGGGCUAGAAAAAAAACACUCGGUGUGUGUGAAGUUUCCUUCCAAAAAAGGGAAAGAAAAGUUCAUCGUAUCGGUUAAAUCACCUAAUUAGGCGCGACAUCGAUUGCAAAGCUUUCAUGGAACAAGAAUUUGGUGUGUGUCCACGACUUUCUCAUCCACGCAAGCCCGUCAAUGUCUGUAUGCG